rnacentral:tRNA from 2 species
GGGGAUGUAGCUCAGCUGGAAGAGCACCUGCUUUGCACGCAGGGGGUCAGGGGUUCGAGUCCCCUCAUCUCCA